GGGGUUGUAGUUAAAUUAACAUUUGAUUUGCAUUCAAAAAAUACUAAUUAUUUAGUCUACCUUA
rnacentral:tRNA from 1 species